rnacentral:rRNA from 1 species
GCAUAUCAAUAAGCGGAGGAAAAGAAACCAACAGGGAUUGCCCCCAGUAACGGCGAGUGAAGCGGCAAGAGCUCAAAUUUGAAAUCUGGCCUCCCCCGGGGGCCCGAGUUGUAAUUUGCAGAGGAUGCUUCGGGUGCGGCCGCCGUCUAAGUUCCUUGGAACAGGACGUCAGAGAGGGUGAGAAUCCCGUCUUGGGCGGGCGGUCCGCGCCCGUGUGAAGCUCCUUCGACGAGUCGAGUUGUUUGGGAAUGCAGCUCUAAGCGGGUGGUAAAUUUCAUCUAAAGCUAAAUAUUGGCCGGAGACCGAUAGCGCACAAGUAGAGUGAUCGAAAGGUUAAAAGCACCUUGAAAAGGGAGUUAAACAGCACGUGAAAUUGUUGAAAGGGAAGCGCUUGCGGCCAGACUCGGGGGCGGGGUUCAGCGGGUGCUCGUCGCCCGUGUAUUCCUCGUUUCCCGGGCCAGCAUCAGUUUCGACGGCCGGUCAAAGGCCCCCGGAAUGUGUCGUCUCUCGGGACGUCUUAUAGCCGGGGGUGCAAUGCGGCCCGUCGGGACUGAGGAACGCGCUUCGGCUCGGAUGCUGGCGUAAUGGCCGUAAGCGGCCCGUCUUGAAACACGGACCAAGGAGUCUAACAUCCACGCGAGUGCACGGGUGUCAAACCCGUGCGCGCAGUGAAAGCGAACGGAGGUGGGAGCCUUAGGGCGCACCAUCGACCGAUCCUGAAGUCUUCGGAUGGAUUUGAGUAGGAGCGUGGCCGUUGGGACCCGAAAGAUGGUGAACUAUGCCUGAAUAGGGUGAAGCCAGAGGAAACUCUGGUGGAGGCUCGCAGCGGUUCUGACGUGCAAAUCGAUCGUCAAAUUUGGGCAUAGGGGCGAAAGACUAAUCGAACCAUCUAGUAGCUGGGUUCCUGCCGA